UAAGAGUAUAUGAAUAUUGAUGUUCAGAUC
rnacentral:piRNA from 1 species